rnacentral:rRNA from 1 species
AUUGAACGCUGGCGGCAGGCCUAACACAUGCAAGUCGAGCGGAGCGGCGGACGGGUGAGUAAUGCCUAGGCAUCUGCAUGGUCGUGGGGGAUAACGUCCGGAAACGGGCGCUAAUCCCGCAUACUUUCAGAUGAGCCUAGGUCGGAUUAGCUAGUGGGUGGGGUAAAGGCCUACCAAGGCGACGAUCCGUAACCGGUCUGAGAGGAUGAUCAGUCACACUGGAACUGAGACACGGUCCAGACUCCUACGGGAGGCAGCAGUGGGGAAUAUUGGACAAUGGGCGAAAGCCUGAUCCAGCCAUGCCGCGUGUGUGAAGAAGGUCUUCGGAUUGUAAAGCACUUUAAGUUGGGAGGCGUUACCAACAGAAUAAGCACCGGCUAACUUCGUGCCAGCAGCCGCGGUAAUUC